GGGAGCAGGCAGGUCCUGUCAUGGGGUGUUAAGCCUGCUUGGGGCCAGUCCAUGAGCCAGGCUGUCAGCGUGACCCAGUGCCAGUGUUUUGGGGGCAGUGUUAAAGCAUCAGUGAGCAGCAACCCGGCGGGGGCAAAGGGAGCGCGGUAGCGGGAUCGGGCGGGACGGACCUGCUGCUGCAGCCCGUGACACCUCAAUGAUGCAAUGGUUUUAUGCCAUCCUCAGAUCUUCUGUGUUUCAGGAUGAGGCACUAGAAUGCCUUUCUCCAUAUAAUUUGAAGCAGCCCUUGGGCUAACUCUGCCCUACCCAGAACUCCUUGCAGAAUGCCUGUGAUCUGCGUGUGCCCGUAGUCUUAUGCCUGUGUCAGUAAAAAUCAGGUGGGCUAUCUAAAUUAUACUUAAUUUAUAAAUGUUUUGGAAAUUUCUUCAGGCUUUUACUGUAUACGUAUGAUUUCAGUUGCAUGU